GUCCAUUGCGAGGAAUGCCCGGACACCCAAGAAAUGAAGCCAGCUAAAGCCAAUUCGGCCGAAAGCAGCG
rnacentral:ribozyme from 1 species